GCUGAGCCCUGAGAUCAGAAAGGACGAGAUCUAGGAGGAAAGCUUAAAAGCAUCACUACAUGGUAAAGACGGAGUUGGGAUGCCAGAGGCAUGAGAUCAAACGAGGUCAAAGUGGAUAGGCUCUGACCAUUUUGGGAUGUGCCUUUUGAGUUCAUGAAUGGAACUAGAAGCUGCUCUGUGGUUUUGUUAGACUC